AUGUGCUGUGAGCUCGAUGAGUAGGGCGGGACACGUGGUAUCCUGUCUGAAUAUGGGGGGACCAUCCUCCAAGGCUAAAUACUCCUGACUGACCGAUAGUGAACCAGUACCGUGAGGGAAAGGCGAAAAGAACCCCGGCGAGGGGAGUGAAAAAGAACCUGAAACCGUGUACGUACAAGCAGUGGGAGCCCCACCACUAAGCCAGUGGUGAACUCCACAUACGCAUCCUUUGCUGAGGAUACGGUUAACGGAGCGAAAGCGACGUUCAACCGCAAAAGAAGCAGAGGGGGCUUAGUGGUGGGGUGACUGCGUACCUUUUGUAUAAUGGGUCAGCGACUUAUAUUCUGUAGCAAGGUUAACCGAAUAGGGGAGCCGGAGGGAAACCGAGUCUUAAC
rnacentral:rRNA from 3 species